UAAAGCUCAGUUCAAUGUUUCUAUAUGUAUUCAAAGAAGUGAUAAUGUUAAAGAAUAUAUGUUAGAAUUGCUUCAGUCAUACAUGAGAUAACACACUGUUCUCCAAUAGUCUUCAUAUAUUAAUACAUCCUCUCAAAAUGGAGUUAUUAUAUAAGAGGAAGAAUAGACAUCUACUUGAGACAAUUUGGGCACUUUAGUUUCAAAUAAAGCUUCCUAAAUAAUUUUGGGUUGAUGCAGUCUUUACGACUUGCUUUCUGAUUAAUCUCAUGUCAUCUUUUGUGCUUAUUGAUAAUACGUCUUAUAGUGUUUAUUUUUCUUUCAAAUAAAUCACUAUUUUUGAUGAAAUCUAAGGUAUUUGAAAGCACAUACUUAUGAUCAAGAUGUUCGGCCAUCUAUUAUCAAGUUAGAUUCCUUUUCAUUAAAGUGCGCUUUUUCUGUAUUAUUUUCGCAUUCAAAAUCGAUAUCAAUGUUAUUCUAAUGAACUUGACAAAUAUCUUGGAUCAGAUGAUGUGGUAUUUUCAGAGACUACAUCAUUCUUCUAUGCACCUCUUAUUUCUACAAGUUUGGGGGAAGAAAAAUGAGUGGUUAGUCUGGCAAGUCACUCAUAUUUUGAUAGAGCAAUCAGAUGUUGUUCCUCUAUUUCACGGUUCUUCUGCUAAUUACCACCCAACUAUUGUAUCUUCAAUAUCUGUUCCAUCCACGGUAGCAAGACCACCAAUUCUUCAAAUUUACUCAAGGAGGCGAAAGAUUGAUGAUACUUGUCAUGCACAAAUUUUGUUGUUGGAUCCUCCAAAAACCUUGGCCUAUCUAUUGCUCUUUCCAAAGGAAGGCGAAAACAACAGGCCAUGCAACGAUAAUUGCUCCAACGACUCCAAGAAAAUCAUGCUCAAAUCCAAAAUAACGCCCCAAGAAUUGUUCCACAUUUUCAUCAUCGCUAAGCAUAUUUUGGAGGUCUCCGAAUUGUGAUGCAACAAGACCAUACAAGGUCCACGCAACAGGGCAAAGCCAAUAGUCGUGGAACGAUGAAUCCUGAGAAGAGAUUCCAUACUGCAUAGAAGAAAGCCGCGACUAUAGAAGCAACGUUUUGAUUCG